rnacentral:lncRNA from 1 species
GUAGAUGAUGAGCAGGAAAAUGACCUGAAUUACAAAUUACAUAUUUAAAGGAGUACCCAGAGGGCAGCGGCUGUGUGGGGAAAGCAGCAUGGUCGUUUUGGAUCCUUGGCACUGAAUGCACAGCCCUAUAUCUGGUAGGUGCUCAGUAAACACUGAAGAGGAGGAGGAGGGUGCAGUACCCAGAACUGCUUUCUUGUUUUCAGAAGUUGUUAAUCAUCAGGUCACAGAAGAAAUCUGCAAUGUGAAUUUCAUCAUGCAAAAUAGUUAAUGCCUUGCCAAGGCAUUCAUCCCAGGAGUGUAAAUGAGUAGGGAGGAGAGUCCGGGAAGACUGACUCUGGUUACCUCACCUGGGGAUAUGCAGCCUUGAAAACACUGACUCUUGCGCUCCUGGGGGGCCCUGAUUUGCAUCCAUUUACAGCAGGAAGAGAAGGGAAUUCAGCAGCAGGGUGAACUUGGAGGAAAGCUGUGGCCAAGGUUCAGAGCACUAGCUCCACCAAAAUCGGGAACCAAGCCUGUCUUCUUCACCCUGACACCUGAAGCACUUCCGUGCUCAAGAAAAUCCUGGUUGAGAAAUAAACAAACGAAUCAACCUUUUCAGGCAAAGAGGAAAGAGAUUCACCGACAGAAUCAGUCACGCUGUACAUGGGAAAACCCCUUUGCAAGUUGUAAGGAAAUUAUUGUAUUGAUACAUAAGAUUAUUCACUCUAUGGGUGAGCCCUGGUGGGAGUCUGGAUCCUGAGUCGGCUUCCUGAGCUCAAUUCCUAUCCAGCCACGUAACCUUUCUUACCCAGUACUCCAGGAAAUGCGAAUGAUUUUCAAUAUUCACUUAAAAUCAAAAUGAACAGUAAAUCAGUUGGGGUCAAAGAGAACAGGACAAUCAAAGGCUGUGCCCAAAGUCAGACUGAAAUGACUGUGAGAUUGUCCCCGCG